rnacentral:rRNA from 1 species
AGUGAACGCUGGCGGUAGGCCUAACACAUGCAAGUCGAACGGCAGCACAGUAAGAGCUUGCUCUUACGGGUGGCGAGUGGCGGACGGGUGAGGAAUACAUCGGAAUCUACUUUUUCGUGGGGGAUAACGUAGGGAAACUUACGCUAAUACCGCAUACGACCUACGGGUGAAAGCAGGGGAUCUUCGGACCUUGCGCGAUUGAAUGAGCCGAUGUCGGAUUAGCUAGUUGGCGGGGUAAAGGCCCACCAAGGCGACGAUCCGUAGCUGGUCUGAGAGGAUGAUCAGCCACACUGGAACUGAGACACGGUCCAGACUCCUACGGGAGGCAGCAGUGGGGAAUAUUGGACAAUGGGCGCAAGCCUGAUCCAGCCAUACCGCGUGGGUGAAGAAGGCCUGCGGGUUGUAAAGCCCUUUUGUUGGGAAAGAAAAGCAGCAGGUUAAUACCCCGCUGUUCUGACGGUACCCAAAGAAUAAGCACCGGCCAACUUCGG